rnacentral:rRNA from 1 species
UACGGAGGGGGCUAGCGUUGUUCGGAAUUACUGGGCGUAAAGGGCGCGUAGGCGGCGCGAUAAGUUGGGCGUGAAAGGCCCGGGCUCAACCCGGGGACUGCGCUUGAUACUGUCGCGCUGUGAGUCCGGGAGAGGAUGGCGGAAUUCCCAGUGUAGAGGUGAAAUUCGUAGAUAUUGGGAGGAACACCAGUGGCGAAGGCGGCGAUCUGGGAAGAUACUGACGCUGAGGUGCGAAAGCGUGGGGAGCAAACAGG